CAGGACCAAGAGGCUCUGUGACUUCACUGUCCAGUGGUUGACUCUGAUACGGAAGGCCGACUACGGGACUGGAGCAUCUGCAGGUCUUUAUCCCUGGCGGGGUCCUGGAACUGAUCCCCUGAAUUGCUCAAAGAAACCAUCGGAUCCAGCCUAUACUUUGAUGAUAGUCACCUAUAUGUUACGGAAGCUAUACAGGAACAAACGUCCUCCCUCACGGCCUGUGAGGCUCCAGAGUUGUGCUCCAGAGGUGCUAUUCACACAGACCACAAUACGAGGCCCCUUCAGUGGACCCUGGAGCUGGCUGAUGUAGCCGCCCUGCCUGACAGCUCUUCCCAGGCUCCUGGGAAAUGCCUGAGUCUCUGCAGGAGGAGCCUGACCCAGGGCUGCAGCCCAUGACACUGCUUAGCCCCUCUACCUCAAUCCUCCACUUCCAGGACCCUUAUGCAUGAGAAGGAUGGUGGGGAGGGAGGAAAGCUGCAGUCUGGGAAGACAGAUGCCCUACAAAGUCACAUCCCUGACAAGACACUGCUCGAAGGGAUUCCUACAGUUGCUGGCAAUGAUGUAGAGUUCCCAGAACACCAGGGUUCUUCUUCCACAGAAACAAGUGGGCCUUGGGGCCGCCAGGCACAGGCCAUGUGGAACCCCCUGGAGCGGAAAGGCCCUCAGAGUCAGUCAUUCUAUUCCUGCUCCUAAGAGAGAACAAGGGGAAAAAGGACAAAUGAGUCCCAAGUAAAAGACUAAGCAAGACACACCCACCAUCUCCAUCCAUGUCA